GACUGCGUAGCUCAGUUGGCAGAGUAUUGGGCUAGUAUUCCAAUGGUCAUAGGUUCGAUUCCCACCGUGGCCA
rnacentral:tRNA from 1 species